rnacentral:rRNA from 1 species
ACAACUAUAUUGUUUGUGUAGAAUGCAUUAGCCUCAUUGUAGGUGAAAUAACUAUCAACUUUCAACAACGGAUCUCUUGGCUCUCGCAUCGAUGAAGAACGCAGCGAAAUGCGAUAAGUAAUGUGAAUUGCAGAAUUCAGUGAAUCAUCGAAUCUUU